rnacentral:piRNA from 1 species
UGCCACUCUGAGGUUUGGUGAAUGACCUC